AUUGAACGCUGGCGGCAGGCCUAACACAUGCAAGUCGAGCGGAUGAAGGGUGCUUGCUCCUGGAUUCAGCGGCGGACGGGUGAGUAAUGCCUAGGAAUCUGCCUGUUAGCGGGGGAUAACGUCCGGAAACGGGCGCUAAUACCGCAUACGCCCUGAGGGAGAAAGUGGGGGAUCUUCGGACCUCACGCUAUCAGAUGAGCCUAGGUCGGAUUAGCUAGUUGGUGGGGUAAAGGCCUACCAAGGCGACGAUCCGUAACUGGUCUGAGAGGAUGAUCAGUCACACUGGAACUGAGACACGGUCCAGACUCCUACGGGAGGCAGCAGUGGGGAAUAUUGGACAAUGGGCGAAAGCCUGAUCCAGCCAUGCCGCGUGUGUGAAGAAGGUCUUCGGAUUGUAAAGCACUUUAAGUUGGGAGGAAGGGCAGUAAGUUAAUACCUUGCUGUUUUGACGUUACCAACAGAAUAAGCACCGGCUAACUUCGUG
rnacentral:rRNA from 1 species